rnacentral:lncRNA from 1 species
CUUUGUUGUCGCGUUUGUGUGGUGUAAAGAUUUGAGUUAUUCUGAAUUUUUAAUGAAUUAAUAAUUUGAUUUGCCAUCUUCAAAGAAAAAAAGUAGAUAUAUUCAAAACUUAAUCUUUUAUCUUCAAUUUUUAAAUCAUAAUCCAUUGUACAGCAUUUUGGACCAUUAAGAGCUGGGCAAGACAACCAAACCGUGCAAUGGUGCUGAAAGUACCAUUAUUGUAAUCUGGACUUCUACAGUCCAUUUGAGGGUGUAGUUUUCCUCCCUAAGGGCGUUGUAACGGACAUAAAUUAAGGCUUAGAAAUAAGAACGUCAC